CAAAUUCAUUUUGGAACUGAACUCUCGUGGGUCUGCAUGGCACAUACCACCAAAAACAAUUAAAUGUUCUUGUUGCGUAUACAUUUUGUAUUUGAAAAUUUGUAGCACCAUGAGAUUCAGCUCUGGCAUGAAUUUC
rnacentral:pre_miRNA from 1 species